rnacentral:misc_RNA from 1 species
GAAAAAGUAUCGGGUGUUGCUGAACCGUGUUGAUACAUCAAC